rnacentral:ncRNA from 1 species
AAAGACUUAGUCCUAACCUUACUGUUAGUUUUUGCCAAAUAUAUACAUGCAAGUAUCUGCACCCCAGUGAAAAUGCCCUCAAGAUCUUAGUAAGACUACAGGAGCAGGUAUCAGGCUCACUUUAUCAAACAGUAGCCCAAAACGCCUUGCCUAGCCACACCCCCACGGGUACUCAGCAGUAAUUAACAUUAAGCAAUAAGUGUAAACUUGACUUAGUUAAAGCAACACAUUAGGGUUGGUAAAUCUUGUGCCAGCCACCGCGGUCACACAAGAAACCCAAAUUAACCUGCACGGCGUAAAGAGUGGUCUCCCAUUAUCUACCAAACUAAGAUUGAAGUGUAACCAAGCUGUUACAAGCAUAAGACACACCUAAAACCCCCUAUAAAAAUGAUCUUAGUCCUACGACCAAUUAAAUCCCACGAAAGCCAGGACACAAACUGGGAUUAGAUACCCCACUAUGCCUGGCCCUAAAUCUUGAUGCUUUCCCUACUUAAGCAUCCGCCUGAGAACUACGAGCACAGACGCUUAAAACUCUAAGGACUUGGCGGUACUCCAAACCCACCUAGAGGAGCCUGUUCUAUAAUCGAUAACCCACGAUACACCCAACCAUUCCUUGCCACAUCAGCCUACAUACCGCCGUCCCCAGCUCACCCCUAACUGAGUGAUCAACAGUGAGCAUAAUAGCCCCGCCCGCUAGCAAGACAGGUCAAGGUAUAGCCCAUGAAAUGGUAGAAAUGGGCUACAUUUUCUCACAUAGAACACUACGACAAGGGGUAUGAAACUACCCCUAAAAGGUGGAUUUAGCAGUAAAAUAGAAUAAUAAUGCCCCUUUUAAGCCGGCCCUGGAGUACGUACAUACCGCCCGUCACCCUCCUCACAAGCUACUUACAACUCAAUCCAUAAUUCAUCCCCAAGCUAAAGAUGAGGCAAGUCGUAACAAGGUAAGUGUACCGGAAGGUGCACUUAGUCUAC